rnacentral:sRNA from 1 species
AGGAAUAACUCCCUUCCUGAUGAGAAUAAUAUUGCAAGGCUUCAGGAAGAACUCAUUGCUGUGAAACUUAGAGAAGCAGAAGCCAUUAUGGGUUUGAAAGAACUUAGACAGCAAGUCAAGGAUUUAGAGGAACACUGGCAGCGCCACUUAGCUCGUACUACUGGGAGAUGGAAAGACCCACCCAAGAAAAAUGCUAUGAAUGAGUUACAAGAUGAACUGAUGACCAUUCGACUUAGAGAAGCUGAAACACAAGCAGAAAUAAGAGAAAUAAAACAAAGGAUGAUGGAAAUGGAAACACAGAACCAGAUCAAUAGUAACCAUCUUCGAAGAGCAGAACAAGAGGUGAUUAGCCUACAGGAGAAAGUGCAGUAUCUUUCUGCACAGAACAAAGGACUCCUUACUCAAUUAAGUGAAGCAAAGCGUAAACAAGCAGAGAUUGAAUGCAAGGUAAAUAUGUCAACUAACUGAUUUUGUUUUUUGUCAAUAUAAUAAUGCCUUUUUUUGUUUGUUUUAUCGUGAUUAGAUUAUCUUAAAAACAAAACAAAAAAGCUCGUCCUAUUUUCUACUUUUCCUGAACU